rnacentral:antisense_RNA from 1 species
CCAUACGGCGGGCGAUGUGGGGGAUCCCUGAUCCGCCGGGCUUUUUUGAAAUCUUCUCCGGUAUGGCAACCCGCAUCGCCCGCCACCUGA